rnacentral:lncRNA from 1 species
CAAAAAAAAAAAACUAAAUUAAACUAACCAAAUUGAUGCUUGAAAUCUAUGAAAAAACCUUGCCAUUCGUCCCUCUCACUUUUCUUUUUGUUUUCGAAAUGUUUAGAUUGAAAAGAGAAUGAACACUUUCUUUUUCAAUCAACUAAAUAUCAUCUUUUUAUUUUAUUUUAUUUUAUUUUAUACUUUACUUUAACUAAAAUUUAUACUAUAUAGCAUACAUAUGAUUAAGUUGUAACCGGCCACCUAAUCAUGUAUAGAAAAUAAGUCCAACAUAUUAAAUUCCGAUUGUAAUUCCUUAAUAAUUCUUCUUUUUAUUAUUUACAUGAUUUAGUCUCUGUACUAAAAUUAAGCACUGAUUCGAUAAAUUAACCGAUUGAAAUUCAAUUCAUUACUGGCAUAAAAAUAUUUACGUGCCCGAUUUAUAAAAUUGAGAUUCCGAAACUUCAUUUUCUGACACUACUAAUUUUUGGGUCAUUAUAAUAUAUAUUCAUUUUUAGGGUUAAAUGAGCUUACGAAAGCCCUUUUGAUAAUUUUAGGUUGAAUAAUGACUAAAAUACAAAUUUAGAUUAUGUUAUUAAAUAACAUUCUUAUUAUUAUACUCAUAAAAAAAUAAUUGAAAUAUUUACUCAAAUUAUAUAUUAACAUGAUUUUAUUUUCCUAACAUGUACUUUUUUUUGUAAUAAUGUUAUGCACAUUUUAAAUAUUUUUAAUUAGAAUGAUAAUUUUUUUAAUAUACAACAUAAAUGUGAAAAAUUUAAAGUUGUUGUUUUGUUAUAAGAAGACAUCCUUAACAUACAUACAUGCAUGCAUACAUAAAGAAACCACAAACACUUGGCUUCUUGUUGUAGCUCCAAAUGAAGCCGACAACUUAAUCCUUUAACAUUACAGGACAUGUUGUUCUUAUGCCUAUAAUUAUGACUUGAUGACAUCAAAUAUUUCAUCUGAUUCAAAGUCUGCUUAAUUUUUCAAAAUAAAUUCCACGUUUUAAACACUUUGUAAUAAUAUAAAAAAUCGAUUUUUGAAAGGACUAUAAAAAAGGGUAGUGGUAAAGUAAUAGGAAGCUGUUGCCUAUAUAUAAAUAUUUCAACUUGCAAAUCUAUAAUAAUAAUAAUAAUAAUAAUAAUAAUUAAUCUUGUUAUUCCUAUAAUGCUGCAUAUAUCAUGAAUAAGGUGCAACUACCGUAUCUCUUCUUUCUUUUUAAGGUAUUCACUGUAACCAUUUUUUUUUAAUUAUUAAUUAUAAAUGAAGUGCAACUUUGUAAUAAUUGGACAAUGCAAAGACAUCCCCACAAGUUAGAAGCUCUCAAUCAUGUAUUAAUAUUAAUUUUUAAAACUUUUUAUUCAUCAAAUAAUAAUACAACGGGUAGGGAGGUCCUUAAAAUAUUAACAAAUAAAUAACAUCAAGUUUUAAUAGAAUUAAUAUUUACGGCUUAAAAAAUGACAUGGAAAUUUUUUUAUUCAUUUUAACUUUAAAUAAAAUAUUUUAUUUGCAGAAUCAUAUUAAUUUUGUUAAAUAGUAAAUGAAAAUUUUUAAACAAUCAAUGCUAACUCUAUUAAAAUCUGGCUUUGUAUGACUCUUUUUAAUAGUACAAAAACUAAAUUGAUCGAUUUAAUAGGUAGAUGGACUAAUUUGAUAAAGCCCAUAUAAUAGAAAGACCUAUUGAGUAUUUUCACACAUACAAAAAAGGCCCAAAAUCCAAAGGAUCACAAAUAGCUAUCAACUCCCAACAUCAUCAACUAAUAAAAGUUAGGAUCAACAAAAGGAUUGAAGCCAUAAUCUUAUCAGACCAAGGACAUAUGUCCCAACUGAUUACAUGCAAACAACAACUUCAGAGGUUGUUAAAGGCUUUCAUAUUAAUACUCAAGUAUGUUUUAUGCUCAUGUAUUUUCUUUUGAGUCUAACAACUAUUUCAUCAAAAUCCUUCAUUAAGCAUUAUUCUACUCUUUUGAUUUAAGCAUUGAAGAAUAUUUUAAAAGUAUUACAUUUGAUGCCCAUACAUAUUUCCCUUUGUCUUACAAGCCUAUCAAUCUCUCAAGCUCAUUAACUAUUUUCAACCCAUCUACCAACAAAGACAUUGACAUCUCUUGAGGCGAGUUUUGGCUAAGUGCCAAUAGAAGUGGUCACUUCCACCAUCACUGCAACAUGAUGUUGCUUGCCAUUUUUGAAAUUGGCAAUUUUUGAAACAAAAUCUUUGGGCUUUGAAUCAUGUCGAUUGUAACAACCUGCCCAAUGAAGACUAUAUCGAGUCAUUAUUUUGCGUUUAAGUCAUUUAUGCUAAGGGUAGAAAAUAAGUAAGUUAGUGAAAUAUUCUUUUUUGGUUGGGCAGUGUAUUCUAUGGGUUUCCCAUUUGGCUAACUCUUCUAUUAAGCAAUCCUUCAACCCUAGAUGUUUUGGGUAAACUUACUAUUUUGUAGCUCGAUAGAUUUGUUUCCGUGUUUUAAUGUGAAUACGAUGGCUCAGUAUAAUGUUGGAGUUUGGUUGUGACCGAGUUAGAACUAUACUAAAGUAUUGUAGAUGAGUAAACUUUAAAAUAUUAAGGGAUUUUAUUAACAGGAAUAAAGGGCGAUAGUGGGAUUUUUCUAAUCUUUCAACUAAACCUUGUUUCCAUGUCUGGGUAUAUAAGGAUGUCGAUUGUCUGCAUGUGCUACUUUUACAUCUUCUUCCCUAAAUUAUCCUCUAAGCUUCUAAAAAACCUUAAGGUAGAAAGCUUCAAACAAAGAAUGUUCUCAGUAAUUAGUUGACACCAUUAUUAGUAUUAGCUUACUGGUAAUUACCAGUAAACCUUUAAGUUAUUGUCAAAGGAGUUUAUGUAUUUACAAUUAUGUAUGCAUAGGUUUUAGAACUGGUUGUAAGGGGGGAAACUUCCUGGUUCUGGGUUGCAUGAUACUGAUUCAUGCAUGCAUGUUAAAUUUUAGUAGUUUAACGAUAUGAUAUUUAUAUUUCUUUCUCAUCUAACUCAAGAAGCUAGCGAAGGUCCAAGUAAUAAAGGCAAAAGACCUAUAGGGUAGAUUCCUUUUUUGGAGUUUCUAUUGAGUCCCUUCUUACUCCUUUUGUAUUAUAAACCCUCCAAGUAAUAUAAACUGUAUAAGGUAAGUAUUCCUACUCCUAACAAGUUAAGGUGUGGUGUCCGGUUAUACGUGUGUAUCAAACAAUGUUGUUUUGUAUGAGUAUGGUCAGUUCUAAUGUAAAUACCCUCCUAGUUGCAAGAGCCUAGUGCUGAUUAUAUGUGAUAUGUAAUAUAUAUUAUAUGAGAAUGAGAGUUGUUUGUGAUGUUUCCGAUAGGGCAGCUAUAUUGCAAAUUGGAUUGGCAAAUCACGAGAACACGUGUUCAGCUUAACAGAAAUGAUAUAAAGAGUUAAGGUAGUAUAUGCAUAUAAAUAUGGUUGACUGAUAUGAUUCUAAAAUUCUGGGUCUAUGGUUGGCACAAGGAUGUGUCAUUUGUAAACGUGCUCAAUUGUGGAAAGUCACGGUUAAGUUGGCGAGUAGUGACUGCCCAUGUGUUGUGUUUAUGUUAGUGAAAUGUGUCUGUCUAAAAACAGUGAACGCCAUUUGGUGUAUCAUGUUAGUACCUGUAACACCCCUAAUCCGUCUCUGUCGCCAGAUUAGGGUUACAGAGCAUUAUCGAUCAAUCAAAAAACAUUUAUCAUCAUAACAUUAAACAACUUAAACUUAUUAUAAAUCAAUCAAUCAUAUGCGUUAUGUCUCUAAAUUGCGCCUUCGAGGCUCUAAAAAUAACUUAGAAGUGAUUUGAGACUAAUUUGAAACAAAACAAAAGUUUUAAGAAAAAGAUACAAAAAUGUGAAAAUAAGAGUCAUACGGUCGUGUGACAUAGCCCUAACUGUGUAAUAGUCGAACUAAAGACAUACGGCCGUGUCCCAGCCCGUGUCCUCACUCAUGUAACUCACUGAGUAGGGUUACACAGCCGUAUCCCAGGUUGUGUGCCAGACCAUGUAACUCUCUGAAUUGCCAUACACGGCCGUGUGUUAGGCCAUGUGCUAGGCUAUGUAACUCACUGACUUGGGACACUAAGAAAUUUCAAAUGACACUUAACUGUGUCGCCAGGCCAUGUGGCAACCUGUGUCCCAGGCUGUGUGAUCCCAAAAAUUUACCUAAAAUCAAGCCAUUUCCAUGCCAAACCAUACUCAAUUAACCAUUCCAUUUGGGCACACAAGCAAAGGAUUUAAACACAAUUCAAACACACAUAUACAUGCUAUUUCAAACAUCCUAAAUCACCUAACCAAUAUGUCAUUUAAAGGCACCACAAUUGUAUCAAACGUUAUGAAUCAAACCAAAGCAAUUUGACCAUAUCUCAAACAUACAACCUAGUUCACUUAACCACUAUAUUCUACCACAAUUGACCAUUUUCAAGCCACCACAAACAUAGAAAAAGAACCUUAUUUACAAGCACUUAAAAGUGACCAACAUGACAUAACUUGGUAAGGCAUUAAAGUUCACCAAACCAAACAUAACUUCAAAAGUUUAAACAUACAAAAACAUCCAUUACAAAGAUCCUAUACAUGCCAUUAUUAACCUUGGGAAAAAUACUCAAAAACUACCGAAAUGAUUGCUGGAUAGUGUGAUAGGUCUCCGAUGAGGUUCCAACCGAUCAAGCUUUCGAUUAUCUAUAAACAAAGGAAAGUAACUACGUAAGCAAUGAGUGCUUAAUAAGCUCUUAUAUAUAAACUUAAACAUAACUUACCAUUUCAUUAAUAAAAUUUAUAGAUUAAACAUAAAUUAUUACCAAUGUCAUAAGAUUAGCAUAAGCCUAUACAAUAUUAUCAAACUCACAAGUUAGUAUACUUAUCCAUGAUACACAUGAAUUCAACCAUAAGAUAAGUAGAUUUCCAAAUAACAACACAUAUUUAACUCAUCAAUGUUUUCAUAAGAUCAUGAUUCAUUCCAUUUGCAUACUUACCAUUUCAUUUCCUUUUCUUACCUAGAAUUACAUCGAAUACUCGGUAAUGCUCACACAUAAUGUGUCUUUCCAUGUAAUCGUAACUUUUCAUUUACAUCAAUACUCAUAUGAGCUGUGAAAUGGGCUUGCUCACACGAGUUGUGGGUCAGAAUGUUAGCUACACGAUGCUGCUCACACGAGCUGUGGAGAAUCCGCAACAAAUGCAGGACCUCAACCAUUGGUAGGACAUUCAAGACCAGCACUCGAAACAUGAAAUCCCUUAAGAAUUCUUAAGGUUCAAACGAGACUCGUUAUUCAUCAAUUCAUCAUAGCAUAGAUACAUUUAUACAUAGAUUCAUUUAUAUUAAAACAAAAUAGCAAAUAGUCAAUUUAACUAAGACCAUAGUUCAUACGAACUUACCUCGAUAACUAAGGUUGUAGUAGAGUCGAACUAAUUCGAAGAUUUAGCUUUUCCUCGAUUUAAGUCUGAUUGUGGUUUAUCUUGAUCUAAAUAAAUAAUUUCAUUCAAUUAAGUACUUCUAGUAUUCAAUUUAAUCCAUAGUUCAUAUUUAUGCAAAAUCACAAAAUUACCCCUAAUAUUUUAACUUUUCACAAUUUAGUCCUUAAGCUUAUAACUUAAAUAUAACUCAUUUUAGCCUAAAUCCAACUUAACUAAUGUUACAAGGGACCUUGAACCAACCCAUAAUUACCAAAAAUUCAUAAAAAACCCAUGGAUUUAUACUUUUAACAAUUUAAUCCCUAUUUCCAAAAUUCAACAAAAAUCACUUAACAAAACAUGUUUAUUUUACAACCAAGAUUAAUAAUCUAUCAACUAACAUCAAAACACAUUAAAAAAAUACAUGCAAGUCCCUCAACCUUUAACAGUUUUGCAAAUUAACCCUUGGCUAGCUAGAUUAAGCUAAAACGAACUAAAAAACAUAAAAAUCAUUAAAAACGAGAUUGAAAUCACAUACCAUGCAAGCACCUAAGCUAGCCAAACCUUCAAGCCCUAAAAAUGGCUAUUUUCUUCUUCAAAUUUUGAUGGAGAGACUAAGUGAGGAAGAUGAAACAAUUUUGUUUUAUUUAGUUUAAGUUUAUUUAUUAAUUUACCAUUUUAACCUUGGUUAUUAACAAAAAAUUUAAUAAAAUCUUACCCCAUAAAUGUCCACUAACAUUAAGAAUGGUAUAAUUACUCUCUCAGUCCAUUAAUUUAAAAUUUCAUAGCCAUUUGACCCCUUUAACUAAUAGAACUUAACUUUUACACAUUUUAUAAUUUAGUCCAUUUUACCUAAUUAACCAUUUAAACAUCAAAAUUUCUUAACGAAUUUUUAAUACGACCUUAAUAUAAUCCUGUAGACAUUGAAUAAAUAAUAAAAUAAUAAGUCACUCGUUGAAAUUGUGGUCCCAAAACCACUGUUUCUGACUCUACUGAAAACGGGUUGUUACAGUACCUCAUGGUUUCACUGAAAAGUCCGAUGCUCUUUAUGAGAAUUAAUGCUUGUUCAUCAGUGGUAUCCUUGUAUUUUUUUUGUGUUUUUUUAUGAAACUCACUGAGUUCUUUUGAACUUACUCUGUUAUCUUUUCCUUCUCAGGCAUAUAGAUAGUAGAAAGAGAUUCUGUAAAAUGGGACUAAGCUAGAGUUACUGUUGAUAGUGAGCCACUUGACUAAAUUUGUAUCAUGCAUGAUCUUUUGGGCGGGUGGCGUGUAGAUCUGUUUUGUAACCAACUUUUUUAAUAAUUUACAUCUUCUGCCAAAUCAUUGUUUUAAGAGAACUUUUACAUACUCUUGAAGUGUAUGUUAAAUUUUAGUUAUAAUUCUAAUAUAUUAAAUAUUGAUGUAACUACUCAAAGGCAUUGAUGGUUAAUUUGCUUGAUUAUGUUUUGAGAUAAGUGUGAUGGAAUAAAGGGGUUGUGCUGAAGCGGAGCUAUAGGUAUAUUGUUUAUUAACUUUCUGACUCGGUUGGUUUUUGUUAAAAAAUUGCCCAAGAGAGAGAUUGUUGAUGCAAGUUUUUGAAGUGGUUGGCUAAGUGCAAACGAAAGUGGUCACUCCCACAAUCAUUGUGACAUGAUGUUACCUGCCAUACUUGAAGUUAACAAUUUUCGAAACAAAAUCUUUAGGCUUUGAAUGAUGAUGAUAUUAUGGAUGUAUGCAAGCCCGACUUUGAAAACCUAUCCAUAUGAAGCAACAUAUCUUAAAGGUUAGUUUGGAUCAAGCAAUCAUAUCUUUCGAUUGUGGAGAACAAAUCUUAUAUAUUGAAAGGCUUGUAUAGGUUUUAUAUUGUGUAUUAAGAACACUAAUUUGUUCAUUAUAGAACUCUUUAUUGAGUUAUUUAAGAGAGUAAACAUGUUUUGUUUAUUGCCUAAUUGUUCUAAACGGGAAAACUUAGAGGUGAAUAAUCUAGGUCUUUAAAUACAAAAAAUGAGGUUGUUUUACUAGUAGAGUGAUAUAACUUGAUUACUUGUUGUAUUGGAGAUUAAAAACAGUAAAUUUACUCACUGAAGACAUAAAAAAAAACCGAAUUACAUAAACAAUCAUUUAUGUCAGUUGGUCGCAAUAACCAGCUAAAACACUUCCAUUCAACAUCUUUUUAUUUUAUUACAUAAAACUGUCAAACUUAUGCUGCUGAAUUUGAGAUUAUUCAAUCACAACAAUAGCAUGUUUUUUUCCUUAGGAUGUUGGAAAUCAAAAUUUUAAGCUUUGGGUCAAUUUUUAGAUUAUCCAAAUAGAGUCGGAUUACGUGUCAACACAACUUAAUUCAAAUCCAAUUUCCCACAAUUUAUUAAUAAUAAUCAGACUUAGUAGUUGACAAUACAAAGCCUAAAUAAAUCAGCUGAAUAACGUAAGACCCAAAUGAGAAUCGAGGUCUAAGAGCCACCAACCAAAAUGGUGAACAAAUAAUAAGAGCCCACCCAUUAUUUUUUCACCUUGCAUCUCAAAUCAAAAUCCACUUUUACAAGUUAAUUAGUAGGAUGAACAUUGAGCUAUAUUCAUUACCUAUGAUACCUUUCUCUAGCUUCAACUACCGCAAGACUAAUCAAUUUCAUUCAACACUUCUAUAAAUACAGGAUGAUAUUGGUACAAUUUUAAUUUGUUAUAAUUUUACAUAUAAAAGUUUAUAUUUUAACUCAAUUGUAUAUUUUUAAAAUAAAUAAAUUCGGUUAUUUUCAUAGUAAAUAAAUAUAGUUGCUUAUGUAUGUAUCGUUAUCUUGUUUGUAGUGACGAAUCUUGUAUGUGUUCCUAAGAAAAGAAAAGAAUUUUGUUAAAAUUUUGGAGUCUUAAAGGGUUGUGGAAACACAUAAGUAUUCUUGAAUGGAACUGGAAAAGAGAUGUAACUCCAGUUCCUUCGGAAGUGGUAAGAUCUUUUUUUUUUAAAAAGAAAUGGUAAGAUCUUUGAAACAAGAAGAAGUAGGGAUCUGCAAAUUUUGGGUAAAACUGAAUUAAUUCGGUCGGGGUCGGUUAAUAUUUUUUUGGAAGUUCGAUUAACGGUUAAUUCGGUUCGAAAUAGGUCGGUUAACCGAAUUAACCAAAUUUAAUAAAUAAUAUUAUAAUAUAUAAGUAUUAGGUCGGUUCGGUUAAUUUUUGGGAAAUAUAAAUUAAUCGGUCGGUUAAGUCGGUUAAUUUUUUAUAUGUUUUAAACUUAUUUUAACCAAAAAUAAAAAUAUAUAUAUAAAUUUCGGUUAACUGACCGAAUUAACCAAAAAAGUUCGGUUCGGUUAAUUUUUUUUGAAAAAAUUUCGGUUUGGGUAACGGUUAAGAGUUUAAAAAGGUCGGUUAAUUCGGUUAAUGGUAGUUUGGGUCGAUUAACCUAUUGAACACCCCUAAGAAGAAAGGGUUGGUCCGUAUCAUAUUGAUUUAGUUCUGAUUUCUCUAUUUUUUGAAGAAUACCGCUUCUCCUACUCGUAUUGAAUAGAACAUGCCGAGGCAAAUCUUCUUCAUGUAAAACCUGUUUAAUUUAGAUAAGGAGAAUUGUACGAUUUUAUGAAACCAUGUGUAUAUUGCUCGAAUUUGUAGUCAACCCUAUUUCUGAAAUAAAUAAACAUAAAAUAAUAUUAAGUCAAUUGAUGUUAGCAAAUUGUAAUUAUUAAAACCAAAAUUUCAUAUAUAUAUAAGCACAUCAAAUCAAAAUUUAUAUAUGUCUCGAGGGUGAAUUGCAGAAAUUGUGUCAAGGGAACUAAGAUAAAAUUAUAAAAUUUUGAGGAUACAAAUUAAAAUUUUUGUUUUGAAGGAGUUUAAUUUAAAUUAUUGAUUUUUUGGGAGGGGCAAAAAAGAGUUUUCCCAUUUGAUCAGUGGCUAAAAAAGCCUUAAUUGAUUUUUUAUUUUUGGAAGAGCCAAACAUAAAAAUUUUCAUUUAACUAAAAAGGCUAAACAAAAUUAAAUUGAAUUACUAGUAUUUGAUAGGGACUAUAAAAUAAAUUUUCCAUUUAAUCAAGGUGAUCAUAGUAUCUGGUGUCUACCUAACCGGUUUACUACGCGGCUGAUUAUACUUCACAUCAAAGUUUAUAUAUGAGUACAUAUAUUUCUUAGGUAAUUAUACUAUUAGUUCUUGCACUUUGUAAAAAUUAUAAAUUUAGUAUCUAUAUUUUAAUUUGAUCAAUUUUAAUCCCUAUAAUUUUCAAAUUUUAAAAUCUUAAUCCUGACCACCAGAUAAUAACGUUCAUAUUUAUUUGUUUAAAUUCAAUUACUAAUAUUUUACUAUAUACACUGCUAUAAAUUUAGUCGAUAUUUUUCAAAUCCGAUCCCAAUUAUUUUCUUUUGAUUAUUUAUUAUCACUCCACUUAAUUUAUUGGAAGUAGCAUUGAUUUGGGUUAACUAACUUAAAGGGGUGAUGUGGUAUAUAAGACAUGAUUUAUAAAGUAAAACUUGUACACAAGGUAAUCAAUGAAGUAAUAGUAAUUAAAGACUUACAUUUAUGAUCAUGAUAUCUUCCCUGCCAUUCUUCUUUUACAUUCAACUUUUUAUUUAUUUUUAUAUUUAAUUUUUUUAAAUGGUUUUUUUCAUUAAUUAAAGUCAAGUAAUUAAUUUUAAGAUUUUAAAUAUUUUGACCAAAUUAAAAACGUGACACGUUCAUAAAACAUUGUACAUUUGUCCCAAAGCCCUAAACUAAACUAGUUCUUGUUUAGAUUAUGAUUUACUUGUCUAGAUUUUAGUAGAAAAAGUCAGAAAAUUGCUUACAGUUUUUAUAAAAUAUUCCCACUUUGUCCUCUCUUUUUUUCUUUAGAUAGAGAUAAUAGAGAUAUUUUUUUUUUACCUUAAAUAAAACGUUAAUAUAUUAUAUAUAUAUAUUUGUGUGAUCCAUAUUUACGUCCCGUCAUUGAACCAAGCCGGAAAGUUCUUACAUGUAACGGCAGGGACAACAAUAAAAACCCACGUGUCUAACUAAGUCACGUGCCGCAACUCAAUGGACUAAGCCGUCUUUGACCAGCCGAAGCUAUAUAUAUAUAAUAUACCAUUUUUUUUCUAUUUAGUAAUAUUAAUUAAAAAUAAAUAAAUUAGUUAAGCAGAAGAAGUAAUAUUUACUUCAGAAACAAAUAAUAAACAUUUUUUUUUUAAGAAAGAAAGAAAGAAAUCAUUGAAAACAAUAUUGAUGGAGAAGCAAGUGAUGAUAAAAAGCUUAGAGUAACCGCAAAUUUAUGUGCACCUCUUCUUUAAUCGUCCCCUCUUUUGUUUUUGUUUAAUAUCUUCCAUAUCUUCUGUUGUUUUUUAUGUUGUUUGCUUCUUUGUCUCACAACUAUAAUAUCUGUAUAUUUCUGAACAACUUAAAACCUUCAUCCUCAAAUGGUAUUCACUCAUUCUCUUUGCUUCUUUUUUUUUUCUUUCUGGGUUUUUACUUCUCUUUGUUGUGUUGCUUAUCCAUUAUAUUUGCAGGGAAAUCAAAACAAUUUUGCAAGUUAAACUGGUGGGGGAAGACAAGAAAAAGAAAACAGAGUACUCUGUAUCUGUGUCUCCCCUGUUUUGCCUCUUAUCGUCUGCAACAUGAAAGUUUAAAAAAAUGGAGAAGAAGGUGGAUACAUGUUCUCCAACUGGUGUUCUGGAGGAUUUCUUUAGGAGUGAAGAAUUCGAAAGGACUAAUUCUUGUAAAGAACCAACAAAUGAUCAAAGCUCAAAGCAAGGUGGUUCUAAAUGGCGAGGAUUGGCACAAUUAUUCCGAAGUAAAUCGAGGAAAUCUUUAGCGAAUUUGCAGAAUUUCGGGUCAUUUAGGCUGUCGUUAAGGAGUAAUAGCAUGAGAGGAAACUUUGCUGUUGCACCAGAUUUUCUUUCCGGUUCAUAUAAUCAUAGGAAAAUUUUUACCCUUUCAGAGCUUCAAGCUGCCACAAAAAACUUCAGCACUCGUUAGUUUACUUUGUACUCUGCUUGGAAUUUGAUUAUUGGAUGAUUUUUUAUUUUAUUUUAUUUUAUUUUUUUGGUGUGUGUGUGCAGAGAAUCUUGUCGGAAAAGGUGGUUAUGCUGAAGUCUAUAAAGGGAGUUUACGAAACGGACAGCUUGUUGCAAUAAAACGACUAACAAAAGGCACAGCCGAUGAGAUUAUAGGGGAUUUCUUGUCUGAGCUUGGGAUUAUGGCUCAUGUGAACCAUCCCAACACUGCUAAGUUAAUUGGUUAUGGAAUUGAAGGUGGAAUGCAUCUUGUCCUUGAGUUGUCUCCAAAUGGGAGCUUAGCUUCUCUUCUUUAUGGUUAGUUUCAUCGUUUUCAUGAAAUUAUGAACAUUGAAGGGAUGGAUCCCAGUCUGAAUUGACCUUUUUUUUAUGUAUUGUUUUUUCUUACAGGUUCAAAGGAAAAACUGACAUGGGGUAUUAGGUUUAAGAUUGCUUUAGGAACAGCUGAAGGUUUAAGGUAUCUUCAUGAAGGUUGCAAGAGGAGAAUCAUACAUAGAGAUAUCAAGGCUGCAAAUAUUUUGCUUACAAAGGACUUCGACCCUCAGGUACCCUCCAAAACCAAAUCCUUAAACGUUCCAUUUUCUUACAUUGUUAUAUAGUAACACAAGAAAGCAACAGAUUUGUGACUUCGGACUCGCGAAAUGGCUACCCGAAAACUGGACUCACCACAACGUUUCCAAGUUCGAAGGCACUUUCGGGUUCGUAUACCUAAACACUAAACUUUUCAUUGCAGUUAUCGGUUAUCGAUUCCAAUAAUUAAAUCGAUCUCCUUUAUUGCAUUCUUUUUGCAGCUACCUAGCUCCUGAGUACUUGAUGCACGGCAUAGUCGACGAAAAAACCGAUGUGUUUGCCUUUGGUGUACUGUUGUUGGAACUCGUUACCGGCCGUAGAGCUCUGGAUUACUCUCAGCAAAGCCUUGUAUUGUGGGUACGUAACGCCACUAAAACACACACACAACAUCACCAUAUACUCAAGUACUCGCUUAUAUGCAUAUGCACAUGUAUUUUAUUUAUGCCUUGAAUUUGUUUUCCUCCCCACCUAGGCUAAACCUUUGCUAAAGAAGAACGAAAUCCGAGAGCUGAUCGAUCCCAAUCUUGGCAACGAUUACAGUGCUCGAGAAAUGAGCCUUGUCCUCCUAGCCGCUUCGCUGUGCAUACACCGGUCGUCGAUACGGCGUCCGCAAAUGAGUCAGGCACGCGGACAAGUUCCACAUCAAAGCUUUGAUAACUUUCAUGCAUAAAUACAUAUUACAUAUACAUAUACGUAUAUAUAUAUGUUAACAGUUGGUGGUUAAAAUGUCAUGCAGGUAGUGCAGCUACUUAAUGGUAAUCCCAACAGCUUAAAGAGCAUUAAGAAAUGUCGGGUCCCGUUUUUUCAGAAAAGCUUUCAAUGAAGAGAUUUGAAAUGGUGCAUGCAAAGAGAUGAAGUUGAAAAGGGGGACCAAAUUGAAAAGAUUGACGUUGUUUCACGUACAUUAAAAAAAAUGGGAUUUUUAAAAAGGAACAGAACAGGAUUAGGGUUUGGGUAGAAUUCCGAGGAGGGCAAAAAGGAAAGUGAAGAAUGGCAGUGUGUUUGGGACAUAGAAGACAUGUACAUAAGAGAAUCAUAGGGGAACAGAAGUAGAGAGAAUAUCCUAUGGUUCAGUCAAUUUUUGUCGGACAAAUAGAUUAAAGAGGAGAACCAGCCAUUGUAUUUUUUUUUUUUUUCUAAUUUAUUUUAACUUUAAAGCAAACUAUGAUUAAAGGAGUUGUUUUUUAAUUCCCAAAAGAAGGCUCUUUUGUUUUUAUUUUUAAAAUAAGAUAUUUAUUUGCUAUGUUAUUGUUCCACGUCAUCUUUAAUUUAUUCCUUUAAUACUGUUUUCUCUCUCUUCAAUUCUAUGUUGUUGGACUUUUCCAAUUUACUUCUUUCUCAAAUCACAACCAAUAACUAUUAAUUUUUGGCAUAUUCAUAAUGUGUCAAAAAUAUUUCUUUUAGUUUAGAAUAGAUUUUCUUUUAGUUUAAUUAGUAUUGGUAUUAUUGUUAAUACGAGAGGACGUAGAUUUGAGUGCGUUGAAACGUAUUAUCCUUCUAUUUUAAGGGAUUAUAGAUAAUUUUAGACAACACAAAGAUAUAUUGAUAGAAAAACAUGCUUUCAUACAAAGUUAUAAUUCGUAAUUAUAUGUUUCAAUAAUCUCGUAUCUAAUAUUUAAAUUAGUAGAUUAGAAUUUGUAUUUCUCUCAACUUAAUCAAUGUUUUUUUUUUCACAUUAAUCUUCAAAUUUGACAGUUUUUUGAUUUAAUAUGUGAAUCUUAUUUUUAUUAUAAUAUAAUGACGUGACAUUUUGGUAUUUACUAUAUCGUGGUCUAAAUUUUUUUUAAAAAUUAUAUAAAAUCUAAAACUAAAAUAAAUAAAUAAAAUAUAAAUUAAUUAUAUAUUUCUAUCGUGAGCCAAUUGGUGGGAUCAUCUCUUUCUUUUUUAUUUUUUUUCUCAAGGUGUUUAGCCAAUUGAAUUAUGAUGAUGAUGAUUCGUUUAUUUAUAAUUGACCCAACCUAGGCGGCACGUAACUCCAUUACACCCACCGUAAUCCGCCUACCUUCUUUCUUAUCUUCUCAUCAUCUUAUCAUUUCACCCUAACUUCUUUCUUUAGUUUUUCCAUUUAUUAUUAACUUCUUUUUCCAUAAAAAAAUCUAUUAAUAAUUUUAUUUUUUAAUUUAAUGAAAACUAUAAGGACCUGUGAUUGCGGAAGUUUUAACUUAUCCACGCAUUAUGAAGACACAAAAUAAACAAGUGACAAUCAAGUUUGCUUACGCAAUUUGUUUUCUUUAUAUUUGCGAAACCUAACUCAGUAGGGAGUGUUCAUUAUCUUUAAACAAUUACAACUAGGGAACUUAAAUUUAUCAUACACUCUUGUACCUUUAAAGAUUAGAACUCUCGCCACUAAAUUUUCCCUUGAGAACUUAGCUUAUAAAUCUAUUUUUUUCAACAUUUUUUUAUAGGCUUAAUGACAACUUUGGCCACUAAUUGUAUUUUUUUAAUUUUUUUUAUCAUCAACCUUUAAUCUUUUUUUCAAAUUGUUUUUUUUAAUAGAUUCGAUGAAAGUACCGUUAAAAAAGCUAACGAGAUGAUAUGGAAUUUCAUAUGUGAAAAAUUUUAAUGAGAUAUAAUUUAUUCUUAGAUAACCGAAUAAAAUAAUAACACUUGAAAAAAAUAACUCUAAAAAAAAGAAAAUAAACUAAUUAUCUAAAAAAAGGUUUUGAAAUGAAUGCACACAUUUAAUAUUUUUUAUUUGAUUUAUUAAUUAUCUUUUUAAAACCUCUCAGUAAACAAAUGUAUACACUCAUUUCGAUACUUUUUUUAGACAAUUAAGUUUUUUUUAAAUUAAGAGUUAUUUUUUUUAAUUUCAUGUAUAAUUUAUUAAUUUAUUAUUUUUCACAUAUAAUUAUCUUAUUAGGUUACUUAAGUAAUAAACUACACCUUCCACAUCAUCCCGUUAACUUUUUUAACAAAAUUUUCAUCAAAUCGAUUAAAAAAAACAAUUUGAAAAAAAAAGAACAAAAGUUGAUGGCUAAAAAAAGCUAUAAAAUACAAUUAGAGCUAUUUGACAAAAUAUGUAAACGUUUGUGGCGAAAUUUGUCGUUAAACCUUUUUUUAUACAAUACUUCUACCUAUAACCUCUCUCCACCAGUUAAACUAAAAGAAAAAUACAUUAAAACAUGCCCGAACUCCUCCUAGUUAAUAUCCCUUUAAUUUUAUUUGAUAUAAUAUUUUGGUUUCUUUUAUAAUAUCAUUAGUAAGUCGAAUUUAAUAAAAAUAUUAGUUGUUACCAUUAAAUGAUAUGUGAAUUUUUUAUCCGAAUUCUAAAAAAUUAUUUAAAAAAAAAUCUAUGCCAUUAUGUUAAUUAUGUUAUUAAUUUAAAUUAAAUAAUAAUAUAAAAUAAAAAGCUUGUGAAAUUAAAAUAAAAUAAAGAAAUAAAAAUUUUCAUUAGAAAUUAAACCCUAAUUUUGAUAAAAUAUAAUACAUUAGUCACUAAAAAAUUCAUGUCCAAUCCAAACCAAACAAGUCUUAAGUUGGCCAGCCCAUGCCAAUCCACUGCAGGAAGCCCAAUGCGAAGACAAAAUUCACUAAUGAAUCAACAGAAAAAUUAAUAACAGCCUGACAACUGACAUCACACGGCACGAGACAAAAGUUACACUGUUAGUAAUAAUUCUUUAUUAUUAUUAUUAUUAUUAUUAAAAUUUUCUCUUAUUUAAUAUAUUUUUUAAGAAAAAUUGUAAACAUCUUUUUCAGGCUUUUGCGUGUUGUGAUCCAAAGUCCAAGCUACACCGCUCGGUCCACAUCCCCCCCCUCAAACCAAAAUUUCACUUCUUAUUUCAUCCCUUCAAUCUCAGCCGUUCUAUAAACAUUAAAAAUACAAACAAAGAUAUUUAUAAAUGGAUGUAUUAUUAAUAUUUUUGUUUUUUUAAAUUUUCAUAAAUAGUUUAUAUUAUAUUUAAUAUUUUUAUUAAAUUCAAUUAAAAAUGAGUAUAAAAUUAUAAAAUUAUAUUAUUAUAAAGAUAUUUUUAUAUAAAAAAUCAAAUUAUGACUUUUUAGUUACCUUCCGGAAAUAAAAUUAAAAUUAUACAAAAAAAUAUUUUUAUAUAAAAUUAAUAAAAUUUCACAUAUAGUAAGUUUAUUUCUAGUACACUACAUUUAAAUUUAUUAUCUUAACCAAAAUUUAUUUCGAGUUUUAUAGUUUUUAAUAAAUUAUUUAAUUUUUAUAAAUAAAAAUUCUUUCAAAAAUAAAUUAAUAAAAGAGGGUAACGCUCCCUUUUCUUUUGCUUACAUCCCAAAACACAGGUAGAUUGAUUUGAGAGAGAAAGCGAAAGAAAAGAGAAACUUCUGAGAGACAAAAUUUGAAAAUAAAUAAAUAAAUAAAUAAAAACCCUUAUGUAGAAGAGUAAAUUUUUGGAUUUUGGAUAAGUAUAAAGAGGAUACUGCUGAUGAUAUUUCCUUUGAAGUCAAACAUUAAGCAAGCCUUAAAGUAAUCUCAGGCUAAGCUGCAAAAAAGAAAAAAGUUGUUUUUGUUUGUUUGUUGUGAGGAUUUUCGAGUGGCGAUCAGGAGAAUCGGAUGUUAAAUCCGAUCGUCAGCGAUCGGAGAUGCUACUCGCCGGUGGUCACGGUGGUGAAGGCGGAGUUAGGCCGUUGUGAUGCUGGUGGUGACAGUGACAGAGGAGGAGGAGAAGAAGGAGAAGAGUCAGUGGCGGUUUUGCUCGAGAGAGUAGUACGAGUAGGAGUGUUUUUAUAGUUGGAGGAUGAGGAAAGGGAAAGGAAGGAACAAUGGCUUGUUGCCGAAUUCUUUGAGGAUAAUAUCGUCUUGUUUGAAGACUGUUUCCUCGAAUGCUAGUAACGUCGCAUCCUCGGUUCGCUCCGCUGGUGCUUCCGUCGCUGCUUCCAUUUCUACUUCUUCUGAAGAUCAUAAAGAUCAGGUUUAUUUUCCAUUUUAGGCUCAAUCGUUUACAUUUGUUUUUCUGGUUUCUUUCUUUUUAGCUUUUGAACUCUUAGCUUGCUUGGUAGUUGAAAGCUUUUAGCUUACUUUGUAGAGUUGUCUAGUGUCUGCAUAGAGUUAAUGGUGAUUUAAAGCUUAAUUGCUUUCACUACUCGGUAUUACUUGUCGAGAACCAUUUGGCUUAGUGUUGUCUACUUCUAUGGCGCACUGUGAGCUUUAGGUGCUUCAGCUAUUAUAUUGCCCAAGAAGUCGCUUACUUAAGUAAGGCGCAGUAUGUGUAUUUGUGUACGUGUAUGCAUAUAUGCACACACUUAAGAUAUAUAAUUUUGAUUAUAAACUCCAAAGAGCGGUCCAUCUUAUAAAACAUGCACAAUUUUCCUUUUCUUUUGUUGGCCAAUAUGCAUGAUCUUUUUAUGGUCCAUAGAUUGUUGAAUACUCAAACAUUAGAAGUAGAGAGCUUGAAUUUGUCCUUUAAAAAAACUACUAAAGUUGCAAUUAAUGAAAAAAAUGAAAGAAAUUAAAGAGAACUUCAAAUAUAUAUUUCUGGUGUCUGCCUCCUUACAAAAGUGUGCUUGCCUCAUCAAAAGCACCUUGUCUAACAACACCUAUGUAGGCACAGUUCCCAAACGCACACCUUAACAAAACUAGUUUUGGCUCUGCUAAUAUUAAACAAUUUGGAUAUGGAGUCUAGCUAACCUGCUCUAACUAUGUUAACUCAAACCUUAUAUCUUUGAUAUCCUUUAAAGCAUUGAUUAUUUCAUGCUGCUUUUUGUCUGCACAAUUUUCGUGGGGUGUUUGUUUGGAAAAUCUUAAAGAGUUAAGUCACCGAUGCACUAUCUUGUGAAUUAAAUUUAUUUAGAUUGUUAUGAUUUUUUACAGUGGAGAAUUGAUAUAAUAGAACUAGUGUGUGCAUGACUGUGUCUUUCAUAAUGUCUCAUAUCUGGACUGUUGUGCUUUGUGAAGCAUUAAUAUUUGUUAAGAAUCUCUUUUUAAGCUGCACUAGACUUGGAAUGUGGUUUCUCAUGGAAUGGCGAGGCUUAGCUUUAAAUUAUCAACAAACAAAUUUUUACACAAUGAUUUUUUUAUCUGCUCUCUCUGCCUUGGUGUGAAUUGGCACAUUCGAAUUAAAUUUCAUAAUUCUGUUGGAUUUUUUUGGGCUGUCUCAGAAUGCUUCUCCUUUCUUCCUAUUUUGAAAUCAACGUUUGCUUCAGUGUGUUUCCAUUAUUUGUUCCAUGAACAGGUAACAUGGGCUGGCUUUGACAAGUUGGAACUUGAUCAGUCUCACUUCAAGCGUGUCCUCUUACUUGGUUACCAGAAUGGAUUUCAAGUCCUUGAUGUGGAGGAUGCCUCUAACUAUAGUGAACUAGUUUCAAAGCGUGAUGGUCCAGUUUCCUUCUUACAGAUGCAGCCUUGCCCCCUGAGUUCAGAUGGACAAGAAGGAUUCAAGUCAUCUCAUCCUAUGCUAUUGGUCGUUGCUGGUUAUGACACCAAUAGUUCAAGAUUGGCUCAGAACACUGGCCAUUCAGUUGGGGUGGCCCAAGAUUGCCGUAUGGAGCCACAGUCAGGAAACACUGUCAACUCACCUACAACAGUUCGAUUUUACUCUCUCCAGUCUCACUCUUAUGUGCAUGUGCUGAGAUUUCGAUCAUCAGUUUGCAUGAUUAGAUGCAGUUCCAGGAUUGUAGCGGUAGGUCUUGCAACACAGGUAAGUGCUGGCUGAUAUAAAUGGUAUAUUAAUUUAAGAGAGUUUGAAAUUUCAUUUUGCAUGUUUUGGGUUUUGAAGUGCAGAUUAAAUUACUCGGCAUUGUUGCUACUUUAUUCUAUGAUAAAAAUUUAUCAGCAGCAUAGUUUUUUCCUUAUAACCUGUAUCUCCUUUUGUUCCAAGUUUUGUUGUAGUCAUGGUUAUUAGUGAUCUUAGUCUGUAGGUUGUCUUAGUUUCUUGUAUUGCUUUAACUAGUGCUGCAAGUGACCGGUCAGUCCAAAGGCAGUAAGCUGAGAUAUAUAUACCAAUCAAAGGCAAAGCAAUUUUAUGAAGAUUAUGCACUCCUCUUUUUCUAGUUUAUUUCUGGUGCUGCAGAUAUCAUAAUCAACUCUUCUUGUAUGGUUGCAGAUAUAUUGUUUUGAUGCCCUCACUCUCGAGAAUAAGUUUAGUGUCCUCACCUAUCCUGUUCCCCAGUUGGCAGGACAAGGGGCUGUUGGGGUUAAUGUCGGCUUGGGUCCAAUGGCUGUGGGUCCAAGGUGGUUAGCAUAUGCUUCCAAUAAUCCACUGUUGUCUAACACUGGACGGUUAAGCCCACAAAACCUUACCCCUUCUCCUGGUGUCAGUCCAUCAACAUCUCCUGGUGGCAGUAGUCUGGUUGCUCGUUAUGCAAUGGAAUCUAGUAAGCAUUUGGCAACUGGGCUAAUCAACCUGGGAGAUAUGGGAUACAGGACUUUAUCCAAGUGUUGUCAAGAGCUACUUCCUGAUGGCUCACAUUCCCCCGUGUCACAGAAUUCAGUUUGGAAAGUUGGAAGACUUGCAGGAAGUGAUAUGGACAAUGCAGGAAUGGUUAGUCUUAUGCUUUUACUUAGAUUACAUUUCUAUUUUAAUAAGAUCUUUCUUUUCUCUAUAUUUCAGGAUGAAAGUACGCAUGCUUUAAAAUUUGAGGUUAAACUUGUUAUUUUUGGAUGGCAUUUCUGAAUAGUUCAUGUUUGCAGCAAAAUAAUGCAUUGAGGUUACUGCCUGAUGACUCCAAAACUAAUUUAAAUAUUCCAGUUGGAUUCCUCUAGGAUGUCUUGCUAUGCUUCUACUUAUAAGAAGUCUAGCAGGAUACAUAAUAUCAUUUCAAUCAUAGAGAAUAUUUUUAUCUCUGAAAAAUAGAAUUUAAUUUAAUUUAUUAAAGGUAUGGAGUCUGCAAAGAGAAUGAGAUGAUUGUUUUCGUUUUUCCAAUUUUAUCUCCAAAUGGAACAAAUUGGGCCUCAUGUUUCCUUUUGUCUAUGGAAGUUGCAAGGCUAAACGGGAAGAACAAAAUGAAUGCAGUUAUAUCUUAAAUAGCUUUAGGAGGAGGCAUUAGUGACUGUGCCGUCUUAUUUAUUCUCUAUUAAGAGAGUAUAUUUUACAUGAUAGAUGAGAUUUAGAACAUCCAAUUACUGACACUUCUUAUGAUUCAAAUGGUUGAUUUUGUAGGUUGUCAUAAAGGAUUUUGUUUCUCGAGAUGUUAUAUCUCAAUUUAAAGCUCAUACAAGCCCAAUCUCUGCACUAAGUUUUGACCCUAGUGGGACCCUUCUGGUUACUGCAUCAGUAUAUGGAAAUAAUAUAAACAUCUUCAGGAUCAUGCCAUCGUAUGUGCGCUCUGGAUCCGGUGUUCAAAGUUCUGACUGGAGCUCUUCUCAUGUGCAUCUUUACAAGCUACAUCGGGGAAUGACAUCAGCUGUUAGUAUAAUUUUAGUUUCAAGAUAUAUCUUACUUUUCUACCUUCCCCUUGCAGAUUGCAUUUUAAUAUAUAUUUUUUGUUUUUGUUCCUUUUUUUAUGUUAUAAUUUAACAGAUGAUUCAAGAUAUUUGCUUUAGUCACUAUAGUCAGUGGGUUGCGAUUGUUUCAUCCAAGGGAACUUGCCAUAUUUUUGUCUUGUCCCCAUUUGGAGGUGAUACAGGAUUUCAAACGCUUAGUUCUCAGGGUGAAGAACCCUCCCUUUUUCCAGUUAUAUCCCUGCCAUGGUGGUCUACCUCAUCUUGUGUCACUAAUCAGCAAUCUUUCCCACCCCCACUACCCGUUGCCCUUUCUGUUGUCAGCAGGAUAAAAUAUAGUAGUUUUGGAUGGCUUAACACAGUAAGCAAUGCUGCGAAUUCUGCGACAGGAAAGGUUUUUGUGCCAUCUGGUGCUGUUUCUGCUGUUUUUCAUAAUUCUAUAUUGCUCGCUCCUCAGCAUGUUGUUUCAAGAACUAAUUCUUUGGAACAUCUUUUAGUUUAUACUCCAUCAGGUCAUGUAGUUCAACAUGAGCUUCUCCCGUCAAUUGGGGCAGAUUCAGGUGCAAGUAAUUUAAGAUUCCAGACAGCUUCAUAUACACACGUACAAGAGGAUGACUUGAGGGUGAAGGUUGAACCUGUUCAGUGGUGGGAUGUAUGUAGGAGGUCUGAUUGGCCAGAAAGAGAGGAAAGUAUUUCUAAGGCUACCCUUGAGAGACAAGAUUUAGCUGAAGUUGUUCAAAGUAAAUCAGUUUGUGAGGAAUACAGCAUUAAUUCUCUGGAAAUUAACGAUAAUGUCCGUGGAGAGAAGACUUCAACACCUUUUCCCACAAAGCCCCAUGAGAGCUUCCACUGGUACCUCUCUAAUGCAGAGGUGCAAGUAAACUCCUGGAGGUUACCAACAUGGCAAAAGUCUAAGGUAGUUCAUGUUUUUAAUUUUCUAUUACUCAUAAUAGGUGCAAUAACUUGGUUGAUUUAGUUUUUUCAUUUGUACAGAUUUCCUUCUAUAUGAUGGAUUCUUCAAGAGCCAAUAGUCAUAAUGGUGGUGAGUUUGAAAUUGAGGAGGUCCCAGUUCAUGAAGUUGAAAUCAAAAGCAAGGAAUUAUUACCCGUUUUUGAUCGCUUCCAUCGUAUCAAAUCAAGCUGGAAUGACAGGUGAGUUCCCUUUCAUGCAUAUUCUUUUUGGCUGCUCUAGCCACAUUUUGAACUCUGAAUUUAAUGUUGAUAUCCAUCCUUGCCUGAAGUUUCUGGUUAUUAUUGAUUCCAAUCUAGUGAAAUGUUUUAUUCUGGCCGAUGAUUCAAGGAAAAUCUCACUGAAAUGGGUUGAUGUUGCUGAUUUAUCUGGAAGUUUCUCAUACUUAGUUUGCACUAAGAAUGUGUUUACAUCUAACAUCUAUUGUCCGUAUUAUUGCUGAUGUUUAUAGUGUAGCCUUAAAGUAUAACCAAGGAUAUAAUAAGAUUGUCUUUUAGCAUUUUGCCACAAAUUUAAGUUAGUGUUUCCAUGUGUGCCUGAGGUCUUUAAACAUACAGCAGAGUCUGUAAUUAUUGUUUGGUCUUGAUUUUUACUGUUUCCUCCAGUAUACGGAAGAUGCAAGAAAAUAUGACCUCUUUCACCCUCAGUUAUAAUGUGCUCGCAUAAGAUUCUCAGGAGGGAAAGUGUGUUUUGGCUUUGGUUGAAGAAGGGUAGUUUGUUAGAUGAAUAUGGGAUCUACUAAUAUUAUGGAAUAUUUUAUUGUACAAAGUUUUGGACAUAAAUAUGUAUUUGAUUGCCAAAAAAAGGAUUUCUGGUAAAAUUUUCCUUCAUUUUUAAGGAUUGAAGUUCCAUACAUUUGGGAAUUCAAUGCUUCCCACAAACUUUAGAUGCAGC